ACCAGCUGAAGCUAGGAUGUAAACAGGAAGAAGGUUUGGUGUGCGGCCAAGAAAUCAAGCAGUAGGUCUCCAGAAGCAAACAUCUAUGGGCAUUUUAAAGGUGGUAUCGGAAUGACAGAUGUGGCCCCCACCACAGAUCAUCUGUAUGUCUGUUCUCAUCAAACCGUAGUUACUUUUGUAUCUAUGGCACUGUUUGUUUGGUCAGAAUCCCAAAAGAAUGGUUCAUCCGUGGUGACAAAGUCAUCUGAACAGAGUUGAUCCGCUACAACUGAAGGCAGUUGACAGAUGAAGACGGAGUCUACAAUGUUUAUGACGAAAAGAACACCAUCCCUACUGUGAAACAUGGAGGACAUUUUGUGGGGGUGUGAGCUACAGUGGCACAGGGCAUGUCGUCAAAAUUGAUGACUAGAUGAAUGUGGUAUGUUAUCAGAAAAUAUUGAAGGACAGUUAGCAUUCAUCAGCUUGGAAGCUGUACAUGGGAGGCACUUGGCCUUUCCAACAUGACAAUGAUCCAAAACACAAGGCCAAGUCAACCCUUCAGUAGCAACACCAGAAAAAAAGUGAAGAUUCCGGAGUGGCCUUCACAGUCUCCUGACCACAAUUUCAAUGACACACUCUGGGGAGAUCUCAAAUGUACAGUUGUACGUACAUGUACAUGUGAGACAACCCAAUAAUUCACAGAACCUGGAGGCAUUUUGCCAGGAAGAAUGGGCAGCUUUACCACCUGAGAAAAUAAUGGGUGUGAACCGCAACUUAUCAGAAAAGACUGCAAGCCAUCAUUGAUGCUAAAAGGGGCAAUGUGCAGUAUUAAGAACAUGAAAGGGGACCACUUCAUCAUUUUCUAUAUUGCUGUUUUUUGUUUUUUUUAAAUGAUUGUGUGUUUCUGAAAUGACUUAUAGUUUAAUUUGAAUCCCAUUAAAGAUAAAAUUAUGUGUUUUGCCGGAUCGGUCAUGUUUUUUUUUUUGGGUGGGAAAAAUGGAACAUAUUCCAAAUUCUUGCAUAGUAUCUAAAUUUAUGAGUGCAACUCUAUAGAGUCAGUCAUUCCUGGUUGCGUUAUCAUUUGGUAGGACCGGUGACAUGUUUUUGGAACGUUUUAUAAUAACCAACACUAAAAAAGGGGGAAGGCCAUCAA